AACGAACGCUGGCGGCAUGCCUAACACAUGCAAGUCGAACGAGACCUUCGGGUCUAGUGGCGCACGGGUGCGUAACGCGUGGGAACCUGCCCUUAGGUUCGGAAUAACUCCCCGAAAGGGGUGCUAAUACCGGAUAAUGUCUUCGGACCAAAGAUUUAUCGCCUUUGGAUGGGCCCGCGUUGAAUUAGCUAGUUGGUAGGGUAAAAGCCUACCAAGGCAACGAUCCAUAGCUGGUCUGAGAGGAUGAUCAGCCACACGGGGACUGAGACACGGCCCAGACUCGUACGGGAGGAAGCAGUAGGGAAUCUUCCGCAAUGGGCGAAAGCCUGACGGAGCAACGCCGCGUGAGUGAUGAAGGUCUUCGGAUCGUAAAACUCUGUUAUUAGGGAAGAACAUAUGGGUAAGUAACUGUGCACAUCGUGACGGUCCCUAAUCAGAAAGACACGGCUAACUACGUG
rnacentral:rRNA from 1 species